GAUGAACGCUGGCGGCGUGCUUAACACAUGCAAGUCGAACGGAGAAAGGGUAGCUUGCUAUCUUUCUUAGUGGCGGACGGGUGAGUAACGCGUGGGUAACCUGCCCUUUGCAGGGGGAUAACAGUGAGAAAUCACUGCUAAAUACCGCAUACCAACUUCUUUCGCAUGAAAGAAGUUUGAAAGAUUUAUCGGCAAAGGAUGGACCCGCGUUGGAUUAGCUAGUUGGUGAGAUAACAGCCCACCAAGGCAACGAUCCAUAGCCGGCCUGAGAGGGUGAACGGCCACACUGGGACUGAGACACGGCCCAGACUCCUACGGGAGGCAGCAGUGGGGAAUAUUGCACAAUGGGCGAAAGCCUGAUGCAGCGACGCCGCGUGAAGGAAGAAGGUCUUCGGAUUGUAAACUCCUGUCUUCUGGGACGAAUAAUGACGGUACCAGAGGAGGAAGCCACGGCUAACUACGUG
rnacentral:rRNA from 1 species